UACGUAGGGUCCGAGCGUUGUCCGGAUUUAUUGGGCGUAAAGAGCUCGUAGGCGGCUUAGUAAGUCGGAUGUGAAAACUCGGGGCUCAACCCCGAGACGCCAUCCGAUACUGCUGUGGCUUGAGUCUGGUAGGGGAACACGGAAUUCCUGGUGUAGCGGUGAAAUGCGCAGAUAUCAGGAGGAACACCGAUGGCGAAGGCAGUGUUCUGGGCCAGUACUGACGCUGAGGAGCGAAAGCGUGGGGAGCAAACAGG
rnacentral:rRNA from 1 species